ACUUAUUAUAUGUUUCAUCGUGUACCGAGUCACAGUCAGUUUAUUGAGUAACUGCCCAAUUCGAACUUUAAGAUACGUCAAUUAAUAGACAUAGAAACGACAUGGAUUAGAUGUGUCAGUGUCAAAAGUGACUUUGUUUGAAGAAACGUCACAUUUGACACUGACAUAUCUAAUCCAUAUCGUUUCUAGAGCUAUUAAUUGACGUAUCUUAAAAUUUUAAUCGAGCUGCUAGUUCGAUACAAGAUACUUGUCAAUAACAAUCACGAUCAAUAUUUUAGAGUAUUACACUUUGAGUAGGUACAGCCAGCAUAACUAUUCGCUUAGCAGCACUCCUGCAUACAAAAAUGUAUGCAGGGUGCUAAGUUAAUAGGUUUACUGACUGUCCUUAUUACACCUGAGGCCGUCGUUAUCUGCCUCUCUAUCGUUCUUGACCUGUAUAUUCGAGGGAUAGAAAGGCAGAUAAAUACAUUACGAUUUUCGUGGUUCUGUGAGUACGAAAACUCUAUAAAACUUGAUAAUCUCAUAACAAAUCUAGACUCACUUCAGACUUUAGAAAUAUUACAAUUUGCAUGCACCAAAACUUAAGUUCCUUAAAAUAAACGAUAAAUAAUUAUAAAUUCUAAUUUAUAAGUUUAUAUUGCAAGUUUAUAUAUGUAUAUUUAAUAAUACAUAUUUAAGUAUAAACUAGAGCACUCAGUAAAUCUUGUGACAGUAUCAGUAAAUCUUUGUUUUGGUGCUUCCAAUACUAAAAUGGACAGCUUAUUUCGUGUUUACCAAAAAACGUGUGAACUAGUUUUAUUGAAGAGAAAUUUUAUGGCCUAAUCUUAUGUAAUUAUGUGUUUUUAUAUCAUGUCUAUAAAAUAUUUAUAAAGGAAACAUUAUGUAACAGUUCGGGCCACGCCAUAGGCGCGGUGUUCACGGCCUAAUUCGAACUUUAAGAUACUUUAAAAAUUUGCUAAAGAUACGUUAUGGGUCUGAUAUGUCAGUGUCAAGUGACGUUUUGCAAGCCUAAACGUCACUUUUGACACUGACAAACCCGAUCCAUGUCGUAUUUUUAGCAAAUUUUAGACGUAGGUAUCUUAAAAUUCGAAUCAGGCCGAUAGUCGGUCAUCAGUUGGUAUAUUCAGUAUAAUAAUAUAUGUAUAGAAUGGUACAACACUCAGGAGAUAUUGUUUAAAGACAUAAUUUAAAAACGCAAAAGUAAUAAUUUGAAAUGUUAAUUGAGUUUCCUAUUUAGUUUAAGAUGUAAAUUAAUUGCGAUUUGUGCCUGUUGUGCAACAGGUUACUAGAUUACCUGUACUGGCUAAGUUCAAGUGAAGAUGUGUAUACAAAUAUUAUUUUAUUGUUAAGGUUUCAAAAUAACCAUUGAAAAUAUUAUUUAUGUCUUAAUGACUAACCCAUCUAUAAAAUAUCGUUCCCAAUAGUUAAUCGGCCCAAUUCACACUUUAAGAUACGUCUAGAUACGAUAUGUCAGUGUCAAAAAUGACGUUUUUGUUUGAAGAAACGUCACUUUUCUCAUCUAAUCCGUAUGGUAUCUAGUCGAAAUAUUUGACGUUCUUUAAAGUUGGAAUCUGCCGAUUAUUGUUGAAUUAGGUAUUUUGAACCCCACUGCUUUAUCAAAUACAGUGUAAACUAUAUAGCGACACUCAACCGGACACUUUUUGAUGUUAUAGAGCAUUUUUUGUUAAAUAGAGAGAAAUUAAUAUUAAAGUAAACCAACUAGAGCCAAAAAUGACGAUGUUGUAGGGAGUGAAUCAUUAUAUCGAGUGACGUUACAUGGAGUUUAUACUGUAACUAAAUUAUACUAUACUGAUCUUCACUUGAUCAAAGUCUAAUAAUAUAAGUUGCGCCGACCAAAAUACAAAUAAGUUGAGCAUAAAACGUGUCGUAUAUGAUAAGUUGAGCAUAAAGGAUGACUCACGUUAGACCGGGACCGAUUUUAGAAUUCCGAUCGCUCGAUUUUGUGUAUUUCGCUCAAUGAUAUCUACAGUACCCGGCAUUUAAAUUCUACUAAUAGAAUUGAAAACGAAUAGUCAAUACCACUCGAUUCCCAAUUUCUAUCGCUCGUAUUUCAAAAAUAAGCAUUUCGUCGAUUUUCGAGUGACGAAAUAGAACGCUCGAAAUUCAAAAAUCGGCCUCCAGGCCGUACACGGCCCGGUCUAACGUGAGUGAUCCUUAACUCAUGUCGAAUAAGAUAAAACAUCUCGAUAAACCAUAACAUUAGAUAUUAAUUUAUAUUGUAAAUUGAAGUGUUCUUUUGAAAUCAUUAAUAUAGUUAUGCAUGUAUGAAAUAACUUCGGUAUUUUUAAGCAAAUAGAUAGGUUAAGUUUUUUACGUGACAUUCCUUUUUAAUGUGAAUUGAGAAAUUAUGUACACCAUACAAGCGCAGUUACCAUUUUUUUAUACCUAUUAUCUAUUAUAUGAAGUACAGAUGAAGUGCACAAUUGUUUUCCAUCGUAUUUUCACGGAAACGUACGAAAGUGUCUUGCUAUUUCAGUAAGGGUAACAUUCCAUUUCCAACGACAGCUGCACUACUGUCAAUUUUACUAUGGAAAUUGACAAUGACAGCGACGCGUUCGUACCGGUAGUGCAGCUGCGGUUAGAAAUGGAAUGUUACCAUUAGUCUCGUUACAAAAAGUACUGAGAUUGACUGAAAAAGCAUGACCAGUACAAGAAGCUAACGGCUAAGCUUCAGACUUUGGCCCAUCGGCGGAAAGUCGCCAGCCUGUCGGUAUUCUACAGGUUGCACUUCGGGGAGUGUGCCCAAGAGCUACACGAGCUCAUUCCACCGUCCCCAUUCUACCAUCGGACUUUUAGACGCACGGCCGGUUUCCAUCCUUACUUGGUAGAUAUUCCGCCAAUUCGCACUAAGCGCUUUGCUUCUACUUUCCUUAUGCGCACUGCCAAGGAAUGGAAUUCCUUGCCGGCGUCUAUAUUUCCGUGCUCUUAUAACCCGGCAACCUUCAAAUCAAGAGUGAACAGGCACCUUCUGGGCGAGCUCGCUCCAUCGUAGGCCACGUCUACGCCUCGGCUAGUCUGUGGCCAUGAGUAAACCCAUGCAUAAUAAAAAAAAAAAAAAAAAAAAAACAUUUCCGAGAAAAUACGAUGCAAUAUAAUUAUGCACUACAUCUGUACCUAUACGCAACUUUAUUCUUGGCUCAGUUGGGACAAAAUCAGGUAUGAGUAGCCACUUUUUUUUUUUUUUUUUUUGCUGGUUUUACACUCUAUAACCAAAACAUAUUUAUUUAAACAACAAUAAUUAAAUUGUGGGCUUUGUUUUAACUUUACGUCAAUUUUUUCCAUUUAACGCAUUUUUAAAUAAUCGGUUGAGUCAACUCAUUAGUACAUCGAAUAUUACUUGUUUCACAUAGUACGUUACGUAUACUUAGACGCAAUAAUAAAUAAGUGUUCCGUGAACAAAGUUUUGUACGGAACACUAAAAAUAUGAGAAACAAAAUAUUAAAUGUGAUUAAUUAUAAUAUUAAAUAGCCAUUAACGUGCUGUUUUUCGUGAGAUUAAAAACUAAAAAUGUAUAAUACUGCCCGAUUUGAACUUUAAGCUACGUCAAUUAAUAGACCUAGAAACGUUAUGGAUUAGAUAUGUCAGUGUCAAAUGUGACAUUUCUUCAAACAAAAACGUCACUUUUGACACUGACAUAUCUAAUCCAUAUCGUUUCUAGAUCUAUUAAUUGGCAUAUGUUAAAGUACGAACCGGACCGAUAGUCAUAGCUCAAGAGGUGAGAGGAGAGUCAAGGGUAAAAGAGCAAUGAUAUGUAUGUUGAAUUUAUUAAUUUUUGUAAAUAAUUGUUUGAGAUCAUUCCCUGUAUGGUUCAUAACAUUGUUUGUAUUUAUUUAUAGGCAUUGGUGCAUAUCAUGUGUAUAGAGCAGAUGAUUAAUCAAAUAAAUUAGAACAAAAAUAUAGUUGA